CCCAACACUGCGCUCCGCUCUCCUUCCUGCGCCUCAAGUGACCGGAGAAGCGCAAAAUCCUCACCAAACGAUGUCCCUUUUAUUGGCACUGAAUGGAAUAAAGUACUUUUCUCUUCACAGGCAAAUCCUCGGAGCGGGACGCGUGGCUUCACGACAGUGAAAACAAAGGAUAAAAGAUUCUCGGAGAGGGAAAUGGAAGAACAAGGGAGGGCACUAAGGGUUGGUGCAGAGAUUUGCAAGAUCAUUCGUUGCGAUCCAGUGCAUUUGACCUUAACUGGAACCAAUAAUCUACCUGGGUAUGAAAGACCAUAUGCACACACAUGCACGCACACUUAGGAGCAAAGGGAACACAGUUGUCUCUUAAAAGGAGUGAACUCAUCACUCUCACUCGCUAAGCAGAAGUUUCACUCAUCUCCUCUCCCUCGUCCUCUCAUCUGUCCAUGUCAUACUUCACUACUUCACUUUCACAUUAGACAUCAGUUAGUCUCUCUCACAGACACACACACACGCACACACACCUCUUUCCACAUCAGCCAUCAGUUUGUCUGACAGACACAUAAAUGUACUGUACAUCUUCACAUUCACGCACAGACCAACUCCUUUACAUCACACGUCAGCUCACCCAAGAAUCACACACAUGCGCGCGCACGCACACACACACAGAAUGCAUCACACAUCAGUUAUAUCUUUUAGGCUGAAGGAGAAAGGGGUUUGUUGGCAGCGGGAGGGGUUGACAGGGGAGAAGAGGAAGUACACAGGAAGUACAUUAGUUAUCACUCCCAUGUCUUCUCCACCUUUUCACGUCUUAUCACCACCCGACGUCUCAGACCCUGGCCAAGCUGCUUCUCCUUCUCAUCCCACCCCUUUCCCUUUCUCUUUCUGUCUCCCUCUUUCUCACACACACGCCUCUAAAAAUGACUUCCGUGCUCCACUUUACUGUCGGGCCCUGGGAUCUAGAUGACACUUGGCAAGCCACAGAAGCCGCAAGACAACUGGAUGAAAUAUUUAAAUGAAAGACGGCAGGGGUAGAAGAGGUGAAGAAAGGAGGGGGAAAAAGAGGGAGAGAGAAAUUAAUACAGGACAGAGGACAAGGGAAGGAGAGAGUGACGAUAUUCAGAUGGUGAGCAGAAUGUGAAGGAUUUCUUGGCAAAAAAAUGGCUGUGUGACAAGAAGUGCAGAUGAAUUGGCUUUCACCUAUGAAGAGGCCUGAAGAGAUACAUUCCAAUAUAGUAUGAGAUCACAUUGCUUUAUCUUGGACUCAUCAGUAAGUCUAUGUAUGUGUCAGAGUACUUUCAGCAGUAUGCCAGCCCAGCUGCUUAGAGGAUGGCAAUGAAUCUAAAACAUAAUCAAAUGAAAUGCCGCUUUGUUAUAGAGAUUUUGUGACUUUAAUUUUAAUAACAUGCUCAAUGAUAAAGCUAACAUGCUGAUGAUUAGCAGGUAUAUUGCUAUAUAUUAGGUUAAUAUGCUAGCAUGCUAACACUUUAUAGUAUAACAUUUGCUCAAUAGCACUGAACACAAAGUACAACUGAGGCUAAUGGCACUGUAAUUGGAUUUGCAGAUAAUCACCUAAGUUAUUACAAUUCAUCCUGAAGGGAACAUUAAUAAACCAAAUUCUAAGGCAAUCCAUGAUAUAUUUGUUGACAUAUUUCACUCCGAAUCACAAAUGCCAAUUGCAUGGAAGCACCAGAGUAAAAGUUAGGGGGGAUCAUUAAUGUCUUUAGGAGUCAUCAUCUGGGAAUAAUGAAUAUAAACAUAAGCUAAAUUGACUGUAAUUUUUUAAGUCUUGUUUGAACUUGGUGAAAGGUAGAAUUUCAUUACAGAGCAUGUAUUGAUUGACUUUUACUAUAAAUGCAGAUUUCUGGGUAAAUAAUUGCUGGGCAUUUUAGUGAUCUGCUUUAACACAUCUACUGCUGCAGACACAAAAUGAUGACAGUGACAACAUUCAGAGCUUAGACACUGACACUGGUGACCAAAACUUGUCCAGGCAAAAAAGAGCAGUUCCAAAGAAAGAAAAUUUUGAAAAACUUUGUGAACAGAAAAGAGAUCAAAAGAACACCAAAACAGAGAGCCGCAGACAAGUGGGAGAGUGAGUUAUUUACUUAAGCCUGAUACUCCUCAUGGAGUAUAGGCCGCCAAAGAAGAGACCUCCAAAACUCUCAGUCAUUUGCUUUCUUUUCUACCUGAUACUAGAUGUAUCUCAGUCUCUUCAUGUCUGCCUGGAGAUCUUUUCUUCCUCUCAACCUCCAGGUCUCUGUGCUAUAAAUCAGCACUGGUUUUACAUUGGAGUUUAAGAUUCUCAUAUUCGUUUGUUUGUUGUAUCACUCAAGAUUGCCAGAUGUUCUGGAGCUGAAAAAGGCUUUAACGUCUGCAUCUGUACCUCUCUCUAUUUCUUCAAGCCUGCUACCUUCAAGUGUGAUUGGUUUGACGCUGGUUCAGCUGGUUCAGAUGCAGGUUCAGUUACUUUGCAACUAAUCUGUCUCUAGGUGUGAACGUAAGUAAACGGUUGUUUGUUUGCCCUGUGAUAGACUGGUGAUCUGUCCAUUUUUGACAUGAUGUCAGUGUAUCUUCAAUAUUUUUCCCACUGGCUGUCUAAGCCGGGCUCAUCCUCAAACAAAUCAUGAAGAACUUCAAAAUUGGUUGGAGAGUUUCUUAUUGAAUUUCUUUUUGCCUCUCCUGUUCUUCUGUAACUUAAGCUUCAGUCUAGCAGUUAGGAAUUGGUGGUCUGAUGCUACAUCUGCUUGCCUUUUUACUCUUUCGUCCUGUAGUGAUUUUCUGAACUUCUUGUUUAUACAGAUGUGAUCUAUUUGGUUCUCUGUAAUAUGGUCUAUUGAAACCCAUGUUGCUUUGUGGAUCUUCUUAUGGGGGAAGAUGCUUCCUCUGACAACAAGCUUGUUCAAUCCACAAAUAUCCACAAACUUCUCUCCAUUCUCAAGUCCUUGUGUUCCCACCUGAAGUCUGUCAUAGAACGUAUCUUUCAAUUAAAAAUUAGCAUUCACAUUCACCUUGAUCUUCUGCGUCUUUGUUCUGAGUGAUGUUGUCAUGAUUCUUGGUCCAUUGGCCCUCCCUCCUAUCGGUGCUCUUUGUGCAGAGCUUUAUAGCGUAAGUGAUACACCUUCUAUGUGGGGGGCAUCAUCCUCUUCAUGACCCGAAUAGAGCAACAUCUUGCCACUCAUCAAUCUUUUCUGUCCCGAUUGUGUCCAUCUUGCCUCACUGAUUCCCAGAAGCUCAAGGUUGUAAUUUUUCAUUUCUGCUGCUAUUUGGGUGGUUUUGCCCGUUGGUACAUGGUCUUUAUGUUCUACGUUUUGAUGGUGAUGUUCUUGGUCCGGAGGCUUCCAGGGACUUUUUCACCAAAUGACUUCAUAGGUCUUCAAACUGAAGAACCUUUCUCUACCAGGACUAAGUUUUCUUGUUGUUCCCUUGUCUGCGUUAAUGUAGCAAAUUACGUUUUUAUUUGGCUAACCUGACACCCAACACUCAUCCUUUCUCAUCCAGACUUGGGACCAGCCACAGUGGAAUUAAGUGGAACAGUAACAAAAAUGUAGAACACUAUUUUUUACAUAGUUUUAAUUCCAUUGUUAUCUCUUUAUUAGAAACUGUAGCUUGUGUUUGUACUGAAAAAGCUUUGGGUUUUUUUCAGUAAUUAAUACAUUGAUUAUGCAUAAUAAAUAAUACUGAUUCCAUCUGCAAUGCAAGACAAACAAUAAUAAGAAAUCACUUUUAGGUGUGUAUAUACAUAUAGAUAUAUAGGUACAUGUGUUGUUUUUUCAAUUGUCCACACUUCUCUUUAUUUUCUUAACCAGAGCUGCAUGCUGGUUGUGCAAAUGUUUCUUUAAGGUGCAUUCAUGUGUGUUUGUCACUGUGUGUGUGCGUGUGUGUGUAUCUUUGUGCAUCCUUUAUAUACACAUAAUUGUACUGUACUCUACAUGUGCAACAUGCUUGCAUGGGUUUGUGUUUGUCAUGUAAUUUAUGCCUUUUUAUGCUGCAUUACUGACUCGUAUGGUCCCCGUAACUGUUCAAGACCUACAAAGAUCUGUGCUGAUCACAAAGCUGGAUAUCAGGCCUGUCUGUCAAAAAAGUGAAUCAGCGCAGCUUGUACAGGCAAGAAACUUAAAUGUGAAACAGAAAAGGUGAUAAAAUAAAAUUUACUGUGUCCUGUAGUGUGUAAAUAAUUUUAAAAAGU